UUGCGCCUGCGGCGGGCCCGGCACGGACCCUUUUGACCGGCUUCGCAGGCAGCCGGUCCGUGUACGGUCUGGUACAUCCCGGAAUUUCCGGGAUUUAAGGAUUUCU
rnacentral:sRNA from 1 species